UUCGAUCUACUCUGACACAACCCUCAAUCCAGAGGUUGAAGAUGAUGAGGUUGAAGAUGAUGAUGAUCAGGGAGUUGAGAUUAAUUUCACGUUAGAUGUAUGGACGCGAGACCCCUUGGAUGUUGCAUGAAGCUACCCCACAUUGAAGUUGGCAUUUCCAGUUGAACACGAAGACGAUGCUGUAAUAAAUAAAUUCUAGACAUUAAAAUUUUACUUAAACUUUUAUAGAUUAUGUUUUGUAUUUUUACUAUGGAUGUUUCCCCUUUUUGGGAAUCUACUUAAAUGACUUUCGCUGCGUAUUCUUUUAAUUAUAUAUAUAAAAAAGAAAUUC
rnacentral:lncRNA from 1 species